CCCCUAGAUGUUCUGGGCCGCACGCGCGCUACACUGAACAGUUCAACAAGUCUUAACCUUGGCCGAUAGGUCUGGGUAAUCUUUGAACGCUGUUCGUGAUUGGGAUAGACCUUUGCAAUUAUGGGUCUUCAACGAGGAAUUCCUAGUAAACGCAAGUCAUCAGCUUGCAUUGAUUACGUCCCUGCCCUUUGUACACACCGCCCGUCGCACCUACCGAUUGAAUGGUCCGGUGAAGCCUCCGGAUUGGCGCGCACCUCGGUGCCGCCGAGAAGUUGGCUAAACCUUACCAUUUAGAGGAAGGUGAANUCGUAACA
rnacentral:rRNA from 1 species